rnacentral:rRNA from 1 species
GGAUGCGAUCAUACCAGCACUAAAGCACCAGAUCCCAUCAGAACUCCGAAGUUAAGCGUGCUUGGGCGAGAGUAGUACUAGGAUGGGUGACCUCCUGGGAAGUCCUCGUGUUGCAUUCCC